CGUUUUUUGAUUAUAAUUUAAGAUUUAUUCUGCUCAAUGAAAAUUUAAAUAGCCGCAGUAUUUUAACUGUGCAAAGGUAGCAUAAUAAUUUGUUUAUUAAUUGUAAACUGGAAUGAAAGAAUAGAUAAAAUAUUUACUUUAUUAAUAUUAUAAAUAUAAAGUUAAUUUUUUAGUAAAGAAGCUAAAAUUUUUUAUUGGGACGAGAAGACCCUAUAGAAUUUUAUAUUAUAAUGAAUAUUUUAAAUUAAUAUAUUUUUAUAUAUUUAUUAUAGUAAUUUAUUGGGAGGAUAAUUAAAUUUUUAAACUUUAAUAUAAUUAACCAAAGAUAAAUGAAGAUUAGAUUUUAUAUAUAAAAUUUUAGAAAAAUUACCUUAGGGAUAACAGUGUAAUAUUUUUAGAAAGUUCUUAUUGAUAAAAAUGUUUAUAACCUCGAUGUUGAAUUUAGAUUAAUUUAAAUAGAAGUUUGUUUAAGUUUUAGUCUGUUCGACUAUUAAAAUCUAACAU
rnacentral:rRNA from 1 species